rnacentral:lncRNA from 1 species
GAACCCUAAAUCGAUGGCUACCCUUUUCAACUCUCGCCGGAAUUUGGAUUCCCAUCUCCUUGUUUUCGCUUCCUCUGCUUCUCCGUCUCCGUAGUAAAACUGCAGGUUACAAGGUUUUUAGGUACCCUAACUCCACCAACACACAAGACGUGUUCUCGGAGUUCUCCACGUGAAAGGUCUCUCUUACAAUCCCAUCACCGUCGAGUACAAAGCCAC